UUGGGGACCUGGCAGAGCAGGGGCGCCGCCUGCUAGCCGCAGGUGAGCCGCUGGGCUGCAGGGAGAGGCUCUGGCAGGAGGCAGCUCCUGUGAAAGCCAGAGCCCGGCUGCCCUGAGCCCGCAGCCCUGCCAGGCCUUCAGCGGAGCACACAGGCCGGGGUGGGGGGUUGCACACCCCACCCCGCGGGCCCUCUGCAAGGCGGCAGAGCUGCACUCAGGUGCCUCGUGCUGCUUGGAAGAAGACGCUUGUGUCCCCGUUUGCCCUCCGAAGUAGCCUGUGUGUGUCAGUGCUUCUGUGUGUUCAUGCUUCCCUCAGUGUCAAAGUAGCCAUAGCAAAUGCUUCGGAUAUAACUUUGGACCUACGAAGCUUGGCUUGCGGGGUCAGGGACGCUGCGCUAAUGCUUCUGGCCUGGCUGGCGUGGGCUGCCCGCACCUUUGCAGCGCAGUCGGUGAGGAAUGCUCUUCCGGCACAUGCACGGUUAACUGAAGGGUCUGUUUAAGAGCAAAACACAGCCCUUAACUGCUAGUUUGAACACCUCAAGUGACUGCUACCCAAGUCAUGACGCUCCCAUUCCGAAAAGACUUAGACAAAUACAAGGAUCUUGAUGAGGAUGAAAUUCUGGGCAAGCUUUCAGAAGAAGAAUUAAAGCAACUGGAAACUGUUCUGGAUGACCUUGACCCUGAGAAUGCACUGCUGCCAGCGGGCUUCCGACAGAAGGACCAAACUGUUAAAAAAGCCUCUGGUCCUUUUGACAGAGAGCGACUCCUUGCCUUUUUGGAGAAGCAAGCACUAGAACACAAAGACAGGGAGGAUUUUGUGCCUUAUACAGGGGAAAAGAAAGGAAAAAUAUUUAUUCCCAAGAAGAAGACUGUACAGUCAUAUAAAGAAGAGAAAGUGUCUCUCGAUCCAGAAUUAGAGGAAGCCUUGACAAGUGCCACAGAUACAGAAUUAUGUGACCUUGCAGCUAUCCUGGGAAUGCACAACUUGAUAUCGAACGCUGAUUUCUGUGACAUAGUCGGAAGUAGCAAUGGUGUUGACAAAGAGAGCUUCUCAAAUAUAGUAAAAGGUGAAAAGAUUUUGCCAGUUUUUGAUGAACCGCCAAAUCCCACAAAUGUGGAAGAAGCACUGCAGAGGAUUAAAGAUAAUGACUCUCAUCUUGUUGAAGUGAAUCUGAACAAUAUAAAGAACAUCCCGAUUCCAACGCUGAAAGAAUUUGCAAAGGCUUUGGAAACCAACACUCAUGUGAAGAAAUUCAGCCUUGCAGCUACUCGAAGCAAUGACCCUGUUGCUGUUGCUUUUGCUGAUAUGCUGAGAGUAAACAAAACAUUGAGAAGUCUAAAUAUAGAAUCCAACUUCAUCACUGGAGCUGGCAUUCUGGCACUGACUGAUGCACUAAAAGAGAAUGAAACCUUGACAGAGAUCAAAAUCAAUAACCAGAGGCAGCAGUUGGGACAACCUGUAGAAAUGGAAAUUGCCAAGAUGCUUGAGGAGAACACACAGAUCCUUAAAUUUGGAUACCAGUUCACACAACAGGGACCACGGACCAAGGCAGCUGCAGCUAUCACAAAAAAUAAUGAUUUGGUCUGGAGUGUGCAAGUAAAAAUUUCUGCAAAUGCCCUUUCAUCUCUCCAGCCCUGAAGCUACAGACAGGUUAUUGUGAAUACCCAUUUGGGUAUCGAGCACUGAAACUGUGAUGUUUAAAGUCUCGCAUCACUGUCUUUUUCGCAAGAGAAGGAUUGAAGGAGACCAUCAAUAAAUCUUGCUGCUGCCAGAAUGGAUUGUGUGAAGAUGUCAUAGAUCUUCAAGGCUCAUUGUAGGCUUGGCAGUCUCUGACUUCAUUUAUCUGGGUAGAAGGGAAAAGACUGGAAACCCCAUUCCUUUUUUGUAAAAUUACAUUAAUUAUCUGUGUGGUAUGCAUCACAUUUCUCAGUUUCAGGCAUAGUACCUGCACCUGACUGUGCAGAGAUCAGGUUUUUUAAAAGAACUUUUUUAUAUUUCAAGACUUCCUACUAUACUUUUUGCUAAAAUGAUGUAAAUUCAGAAAUCAAUGGAGUGGUUGUCUAUUCAGAGAAUGCCACAUGAAGGAUCAGUGGGUAAAUAACAAAAACAAUUGGAGUAUGUUUCUGAUAGAAAAGCUAGGGUGGUUAUUUAAGUGGAAGGAUUUGUAUAUUUUUUUUUUUUUUAGAACAAUGGUUUAGUGAAAAGGGAUUCUUCAUGCAGAACAAUUGGGCUGUUUGUAGCUAUUCAGCCUUGUUCAUAUGAACUUAAAGAUUAAUCUUUCACAGCUAUCACAGUUGCAGUUCUACUAUUUUUUAUGUUCUUGAUCAGGUUAAAAUGCUUUAGUACUGUGAUUAAGCUUGAAAGUUGUCUGUUUUUAAAACAAAAUUAAUUGGAUAAGGACGUCUACUUUUUUUCAACAUUCAGGAAACUAAUAUAAAGUGAAGGUGCCUUGAAAAAUUGACAGUGUCUGUACUAAACCAAAAAGCCUCCAAAACAGCUUAUGUUGGAAAAUAUUCUGAGACUGUACUUUGCUCUGAUGUGUCUAAACUGAGCUUUAGAUUUGAUUUUUGUAUGUUCCUCAGCAUUGUUUAGGGUAUAGCAUUCUUUCUUUAAAAAUAUCUAUAUCUAAAUAUAGUAAAAGGCAUAGGAGUUUUCUAGAAGUAGUGGACAUGCAUUCUUUAAGAAAUGCUGGCUAGUGGGUGCUGAAAAAGCAAUCUUACGAACUGUAAAAAUCCUACGGUCCCUGGUGGUAGUUAGUUGGUUAUUCUGUUUGUUAAACUAAAAUCAGUCAUACUUCCUUCCAUAUAAAAUGGUGACAACUGUAUCAGACAAGUUUUCGUCUGUCACAAUGAUAAAAGGUCUUUCUGUUCCACUGACUUAUGGUCCUAUUGUCAUGAUGUAAACUAUGCUGAAACUUACUAGUUCUAACAAAUUUCUAAUGUGUUGGACAGUAUAUUCACAAUAUUAUUCGAGACCAUUUAUUGAAGAUAGGCAUUUAGUCAAAUGUGUCACUGUAAAUGUUGUCAAGUUCUAUAUCUUCAAAAACUAACUGGGUGACAAAAGUCACUUCACUUUUAGUACUAAAUAGAAGUGGACUUUUUGAGGGUAUUGUGAAAUUUAAAUAGUUUUUACUUGUGCUGUUUUUUGAAUUGCACUGUAUGAAAUGCUACAAUGUUGCCCAUUAUGCCAUAAAAGUAGAAGCACAUUCUAAGGAACCAGACAACUACAUUUAUAGUGGCACACAAUUCAAACGUUGUAAGUGUCAAUAUUCUUAAAAUGAUCAUAAUUAUGGUGAGUUUAUAUAAACUAUGUAUUGGGGAUGUGAAAGAAAAAUGUCUAGAACAGA